UUUACAUUGCUACUCCAUUGUUCGACCUGCAUACUCGUCUGGGUAUUCUUUCUUUUUCUAUCUCUCUCCAUCUGUAUUUAUGUUUGCAUAAGAGUGUGAGUGUGUGUGUGAGUAACAAAGGUUUUAAUUUGUUGGUCUUGUGAAUUUUGCUGCAAUUUUAAUACCAAGAUGGAGACUCAAAGAAAGAAAAGAAAAGAACACAAAAUUUGUUUUCAUGAACUUGUAGUCUCGGUCUCCCCCAUUUCUUUGAAUUUAUUAUAUUUUGUUUUCUAGUUGAAGGCUAAUUUAUUGGGAAGUGAAGAAAUGUUACGGCCAUGUGGGAUAAAGGGGCAGAAGCGGAAGAAGAGAGAGGAGAGAUAUGAUAAAGAGGAAGAUGAAGUGGAAGCCGAAGAGCAAUCCAUAGAAAGAGCGAAAAGAGCUAUGGUUGAAGAAAAAGAAAUGGCUAUGGAAACCAGCGGGAAGGAAGAAGAAGAAUUAGAAGGGCAAACACAUGAAAUGGCAGGCAUCCCAAUUGUUCCCAGUGAUUUAAAAACAAAAAAGCCUGGGCUUAUAUUUGUGCUUGAGAGGGCCUCUUUGGAAGUUGCUAAAGUUGGAAAGAGUUACCAGAUUUUGAAUUCUGACGAUCAUGCAAAUUUCUUGCGGAAAAAUAACAAAAAUCCAGCUGAUUAUAGGCCUGAUAUUGUUUAUCAGGCUCUCCUAUCAAUAUUAGAUAGUCCAGUAAAUAAGGCUGGGAGGUUGCGAGCUGUGUAUGUGAAAACAGAUAAGGGUGUUCUUUUUGAAGUUAAACCACAUGUGCGUAUACCAAGGACAUAUAAACGAUUUGCUGGAAUUAUGUUGCAGCUGCUUCAGAAACUGAGUAUAACUGCUGUUGGUAAGCGUGAGAAUCUUUUGCGUGUAAUCAAGAAUCCUGUGACCCAGUACCUGCCUGUCAACUCUCGUAAAAUAGGGUUCUCAUAUAGUUCAGAAAAACUGGUUAAAAUGAACAAGUAUGUAGCUGCAGUCAGUGAUGAUGUGGAUAUUGUUUUUGUGGUUGGUGCAAUGGCCCAUGGAAAAAUUGAUUGUGAUUAUAUAGAUGAUUUCAUAGCAAUUUCUGGAUAUCCGCUGAGCGCUGCCUGGUGUAUCUCAAGGAUUUGUGAGGCUGUGGCUGACAAAUGGGAUGUAUUGUAAGCUGUUAUUGUUUAAAGUCGAAUGAGAGCUGGUUGUUGCCCGACUGCCAUUUUUUUCCCCUCAACCAUGAGCAGAAUUACAAAAGUUGAAGAUUAUCGUGAGAUGCUGAAACUAAAAGUUAGAAUAGAAUAGUUGCAGAUAUAGCGAAAUCACCAAGGUUGCCCAUUAGAGUAAUUUCUUAUCUAUCACCUUAUCGAUUAUUUAUGUAGAAGUAUUCUUGCGUAUAUCAUUUAAUAUUUGUUAUGAAUUUCUGAUUAAAUAACUCAUUUUAAGAAAAUAUUUUUUAAACUAAAUUUCCUCUGUUUCUUGUUAAUUGAAUUCUAAUUUAUUAGUUGGAUAU
rnacentral:misc_RNA from 1 species